rnacentral:tRNA from 1 species
GGCGGCAUAGCCAAGUGGUAAGGCGACGGUCUGCAAAAUCGUUAUGCUCCAGUUCAAAUCUGGAUGCCGCCU